UGGAACUUACUAAUGAACAG
rnacentral:miRNA from 1 species